UCCCUGAGAGAUAAUUAGCAUACUGUUGUCUAUAUAAACCGAGCGAUUUUGCUGCUCGGGGUCCCUGUUCAAGAGAGCUGUAACACUGAGAAGAGCUGUAACACAGUAAAAGCAUGUUCGCAGAAGAAUCCUGUUGUCGCGCGUCCUUCUUGCUGGCGGGACAUUGGGCGCGCGACAGGCAUGGAACUCUCGUUAGGAUGAAAAUGUCAAUCAAAUGUAGUCUGGUGGUGAGAAAAUGGACAUAAACGUCUGUAGCUUAUGAUCGAAGUCGAUGGGUCUGAACUGAGGCUCCUUGAACUUCCGGGUCAUCUUGGAGCUGAGGUAACCAACCCAGUUUAACAACCCUGUCUACCACAUGUGGUACAACGAGUGCCAGGCUCUCCGAAUGGGGCCUCGUUCCGAGAGGCAGGCAUACCUUUGAGAUGGAACGCUAUGUAAAGGAGCACAGACCUCCUCACACUUAGGAAGGGGAGCUUGGGUUUCAGGUUCCCGGCUGCAUUCAUUGCCUUGAUCAGGGAUGUUGCUGUGCCCUGCAGCCUUCCUGGGAUGGGGAUGAUAGACGACCAUCUAGUCAACAGGAAAGACACACACCACACUUCACACCACACUUGAUGAGGAGAUAAAAUAUAAAUGGACAUCGUGCCGGCUGGUGGCGGCCACAUGCCUGACGUUGACAAAGAAAGAAGGGGUUGCCCUGGCCCAUCUCUGCUUGUGUAGUUGGCACUGAUGGCCUGCCUUCUACGCUGUGUUCUUGGCCACAUGACAAGGAAUCCCAGAGACCACAGGGUCACCAAGUUUGUGAAGCUGUGAAGUUAAAGAGGCCUUCUAAUAAAACAUGACCUUAUAAGGACACUCCUCCCUGCAAGAUCCUCCUUGGCAUGCUGGUAGUGAGCCUGUGGAGGGCUAGCUUUGUCUCCAUGGCUCCUUUUUGGUUUUCUUUCACAUUUUUUUGAGGCAUUCUUGCUAUGUAGGUCAGAGUAAUUUAACCUUUGGGAGGUCAACAACAUUUCAAAUCAUUAAAAAAAAAAAUCCGACUGCACUAAAAUUAAAAAGAAAGAAAGAAAGAAAGAAACUAAGCCACACGUCCGGUUUACAUGUAAACAGUUUGAUGACAACGCAUUCCCCUUCACUACGGUGCAGCCAAGCAUUAAAUACAGGACAGCACAGAUUUGUGUGAACAGCCGCCUUAAAUGAAGAGUGCUUUACAACUUAAACCAGAAAACUGGGCUGGAGAGACGGCUCAGCGGUUAAGAGCUCUGACUGCUCUCCCAGAGGUCCUGAGUUCAAUUCCCAGCAACCACAUGGUGGCUCAGGACCAUCUGUAAUGGGAUCUGACGCCCUCUUCUGGUGUGUCUGAAGACAGCUAGUGUGUACUCGAAUACAUGAAAGGAGGAAACUUUGCCGGAACCUCACUGCGUCAAAUGUGGAAGUGACUGUGGGGAGAACACCCUGAGUUCUUUAACAUGCGUCAUAGAAAGCCAUACAACAGAACCUGUUCCAGGUACCCAGGCAAAGGCAGGCUGGUGAGGUGGAUGGAUUCCUUGGGCGGGGGAAGUUUGUGCGGAAGCUUCUGGUCCCAGUAUUUCAUUGGCAACCUAGGAACGCAAAGCUCGUUAGACACACGCUCACACAUGCGUGUGCAUACAGACACAAGUAUGGGGCAAAGCUCACUGCCUGCUUUAUCUACGGGAGGAAAUUAUACAAGAGGCAAGACUAGGGGUUCUAGGAGUUUCUUUUGCUUUUCAAUUUCACAAAAGGUCUCAUGUAGCCCACUCUGAAGCUAAGAGCAACUUUGAACUCUGAAUUCUGCUUCUAUCCUUGGUCUAUGUGUGAAUGUGUGUGUAUGUGUCAGUGUGUAUAUGUAUAUGUGUGAGCAUGCGUAUGUGUGUGUGAAUGUGUAUGUGUGUGUGUAUGUGCCAGUGUGUAUAUGUGUAUGUGUGACUGUGUGUAUGUGUGUGUGAGUGUGUAUAUGUGUGUGUGUAAAUGUAUGUGUGUGUGUAUGUGCCAGUGUGUAUAUGUGUAUGUGUUACUGUGUGUAUGUGUGUGUGUAUGUGUACAUGUGACUCUGUGUGUGUGUGAGUGUGUGUGUGUGUAUGUGCCAGUGUGUAUAUGUGUAUGUGUGACUGUGUGUAUGUGUGUGUGUGUAUGUGUAUGUGUGACUGUGUGUGUGUGUGUGUGUGUGUGUGUGUGUGUGUGUGUGAGACUUCCCUUCCCCUCCCACAGUUCCAAGCUACAUUGGACACGGACAUGGAAGACAAUAAUUUAUAAUUUGGUGAGUAAUCUCACCUCAGGAAUUUCUGGAGUUUUUCUUCGCUCUCACAGAUGUAUAUGCGUCCGCGAUACUCUACAGCAUAUUCGUUGUCACCAGGCACCAGGGCUUCAUAUCUGGAAGGUCAGAAACAAGAAAACACACAACAAAAGCACUGAGGAGUUAGUGUGUGUGUUGUAUAAUUAACAUGUAGUGCUGCGUGAGUGAAGUGUACUGCGUGUCAAGAGUGUUUCGUUUUCCUGCCUGUGCGGAAAGCAGCAUUCCCCUGAGUAGUGAGCACGAUAAGACUUUCUGGGCUGCGGAGGUGGCUCAGAGCUUAAGGGCAUGGGCUGAUCUUGAGGGGGCAGGAGUUGGAGUCCCCAGCACCCAUGGCGGGUGGUUCACAACUGCCUGUUCCAGGGGAUCGGUCGGGUGCCCUCUUUUGGCCUCUGUGGGCACCAUCGUGCAUACGCUGGUUCUCUUUCUGGUGAUGUAAACCAAGAGAGUUCUCAAAGGGGAGAGCUUCACUGUAGUAUAAAAUAAUAAUUGAAAACAAUAUUUGAAAAUCAGAACUAUUAUUAAAGUGACUUUCCUAAGUUAAAACGCUCUGUAGGUGUUUAGCUUACACUAGGGAGAGCUGGUUUCCAUUGUGAAGUGGAAAAGUUAAACGGAGAGAAGUGCAUCUCUGGGGUUCCAGCAUAACCUAACCUCUGGCUUACACACACACACACACACACACACACACACACACACACACACACACACAUGCGCACACGCACACAGGGACACACACACAUGCACACAAACGCAAACGAUUCCUUAAAACACUGGUUUGCCCCACUGGUUUGGAGCAGGGCGUGGGUCUGUUGUCCGAGCGUGAGGACCUGCCUUUGUU